rnacentral:rRNA from 1 species
AGAUUGAACGCUGGCGGCAUGCCUUACACAUGCAAGUCGAACGGCAGCACGGGAGCAAUCCUGGUGGCGAGUGGCGAACGGGUGAGUAAUAUAUCGGAACGUGCCCAGUCGUGGGGGAUAACGUAGAGAAAUUUACGCUAAUACCGCAUACGAUCCAAGGAUGAAAGCGGGGGAUCGCAAGACCUCGCGCGACUGGAGCGGCUGAUAUCAGAUUAGGUUGUUGGUGAGGUAAAAGCUCACCAAGCCGACGAUCUGUAGCUGGUUUGAGAGAUCGACCAGCCACACUGGGACUGAGACACGGCCCAGACUCCUACGGGAGGCAGCAGUGGGAAUUUUGGACAAUGGGCGAAAGCCUGAUCCAGCAAUGCCGCGUGCAGGAAGAGGCCUUCGGUUAGUAACGUGUCUUUGUACGGUAAACGUAAAGGUUUUUUACUAAUAAAGAAGACCCAGUGACGUACCGUAAGAAUAAGACACCGGACUAACUACGU